rnacentral:tRNA from 1 species
UGGGGCAUCGUCCAGUGGUUAGGACUGCGGUUUUUGGUGCCGCCAACCUAGGUUCGAAUCCUAGUGCUCCAGCCA